AAUUAAACACAGGGGAGCUGAUUAGGCAGCUGAGAGUAAGAAAUUUAAUUCUUUGACCCUAGUUACCUGAACUGGAUAAUGCCAGCGUAGGAAGUGUAGGGGUAAUAUUA
rnacentral:ncRNA from 2 species